rnacentral:lncRNA from 1 species
CAGAGCUGGGUCCUGCUGUCUUGUCACCCACCAUGGUGUGAAGGACUGCUGGUGGCCUCUCUGCCUGGCUGACCUCCCCCUGACUCGGGGCAGGGAGAAACAGAAAGAUUUUGUGCUCUGGCGGAGCUGCGCCUUCCCGUGACCCGGGCGAAACCCUCCAGCCCUUUCCCACAACGCCUCACCGAAGCCUCGCUGCAGCUCUCCGUUUAUUUUUUCAGUUAGCAGAAAUGACCGAGGAAGGAACAUUUCAGAAAAGCUUCUUAUGUGACACACUGGGAAAAUAAGCAUUCACACGCUGCCAAGACUGGAAGGUACUCCAUACCUGUGGUGCAUUCUGUAGUACACAGUGAACUAUUUCCCAAUCUCUGCAAGUUUUGAAAGAGAUGGAAGAAGAAAGAAAAUAGUGUUCUAUGCUGCAGAAAUGACAAAGGAAAC